rnacentral:rRNA from 3 species
CCCUUUGGGUGUGACUGCGUACCUUUUGUAUAAUGGGUCAGCGACUUAUAUUCUGUAGCAAGGUUAACCGAAUAGGGGAGCCGGAGGGAAACCGAGUCUUAACCGGGCGUUAAGUUGCAGGGUAUAGACCCGAAACCCGGUGAUCUAGCCAUGGGCAGGUUGAAGGUUGGGUAACACUAACUGGAGGACCGAACCGACUAAUGUUGAAAAAUUAGCGGAUGACCUGUGGCUGGGGGUGAAAGGCCAAUCAAACCGGGAGAUAGCUGGUUCUCCCCGAAAGCUAUUUAGGUAGCGCCUCGUGAAUUCAUCUCCGGGGGUAGAGCACUGUUUCGGCUAGGGGGCCAUCCCGGCUUACCAACCCGAUGCAAACUGCGAAUACCGGAGAAUGUUAUCACGGGAGACACACGGCGGGUGCUAACGUCCGUCGUGAAGAGGGAAACAACCCAGACCGCCAGCUAAGGUCCCAAAGUCAUGGUUAAGUGGGAAACGAUGUGGGAAGGCCCAGACAGCCAGGAUGUUGGCUUAGAAGCAGCCAUCAUUUAAAGAAAGCGUAAUAGCUCACUGGUCGAGUCGGCCUGCGCGGAAGAUGUAACGGGGCUAAACCAUGCACCGAAGCUGCGGCAGCGACACUGUG